rnacentral:rRNA from 1 species
AUUGAACGCUGGCGGCAUGCCUUACACAUGCAAGUCGAACGGCGGCGGACCUUCGGGUGCCGGCGAGUGGCGAACGGGUGAGUAAUGCAUCGGAACGUACCUUUCAGUGGGGGAUAACGUAGCGAAAGUCACGCUAAUACCGCAUAUUCUGUGAGCAGGAAAGCAGGGGAUCGCAAGACCUUGCGCUGAUUGAGCGGCCGAUGUCAGAUUAGCUAGUUGGUGAGGUAAAGGCUCACCAAGGCGACGAUCUGUAGCGGGUCUGAGAGGAUGAUCCGCCACACUGGAACGGAGACACGGUCCAGACUCCUACGGGAGGCAGCAGUGGGGAAUUUUGGACAAUGGGGGCAACCCUGAUCCAGCCAUGCCGCGUGAGUGAAGAAGGCCUUCGGGUUGUAAAGCUCUUUCGGCCGGGAAGAAAUCGCACGGGCUAAUACCCUGUGUGGAUGACGGUACCGGAAUAAGAAGCACCGGCUAACUACGUGCCAGCCGCCGCGGUAAUAC